rnacentral:lncRNA from 10 species
UAAAAGUGUGUGGCACCUUCCCCUCCACUCUCUCUCUUGUUUGCUUCUGCUUUUGCCAUGUGAUGUACCCGCUCCCCAAUCACCUUCCUCCAUGAUUUUAAGCUUCCUGAGGCCUCUGGAGAAGCCAAGCAGAUGCCAGGAACUUGCUUCCUGAAAGUCCUGUGGAACUGCAACUUCCCCCUUUAUCCAGUUGUUGGACCUCAAGGACAGCCACGUAAGGAGUGUGUAUGUAUUUUGGCUAUCCAACGGUCUAGCAUUAUUUCCAUCUUCUACUCUCCUCUUUCUCUUUGUUAUAUCAGCAAUUUCAAAAUGAUUAGAGAAAGAAAAAGAACAUCUGGAAAAACAGAGAUAACUAGGAAAAGGAGUUAAGCCCACAAGCAGCUCUUUCCAUAACGAUCUGCACUCAAUUAUCUGAUAAGGCGUGAUUUUUCUCACCAUUUAUCUCAUCCCCUCUAUUUCUCUGUGAACUGCAACCACAUGCUCCAGCUCUGCAUUUCACAUGAAGAAUGAAGCAAUGAAUUCUCGAUAGCCUAAAGCAUGUGCUGUGGCAUCUGUGGCUUUGGAGAGGACAGGUGGUGGAAGUGGAGGAGACAGGUGAAGGAAAGCCAGGAGGAAGAUUCACAAAUAUCAACGAUGAGCCUGGAUAUGACUGACCCGGAUUAUUCCCGCACGUUGGAUUCAUACCUGCUGUCUUCCUGAGCAAAGGGCUGUUCCACAUCCACUGUUAGGGAGGCCAGGGCAGAAACGGUCUCUGUCUCCUCUUGCAACUGAGCACCAGCCAGAGCACAGCCCCUUGGCACAGCCACCAUCCUUACUGACUUCCAAUACUUGCCUAGGAAAAACAUCCAUCAUACUUCAUAAGAAUUGUAAUUACAGCAGUAAUAAUCAGAAUACUCACAUACGUCCAACUCAGAGCAGUUGUUAAGUUAAAAUUCCCC